rnacentral:rRNA from 1 species
GUGGGGAAUCUUCCGCAAUGGACGAAAGUCUGACGGAGCAACGCCGCGUGAGUGAUGAAGGUCUUCGGAUUGUAAAGCUCUGUUAAUCGGGACGAAAGAGCCUAGUGUGAAUAAUGCUAGGAAGUGACGGUACCGGAAUAGAAAGCCACGGCUAACUACGUGCCAGCAGCCGCGGUAAUACGUAGGUGGCAAGCGUUGUCCGGAAUUAUUGGGCGUAAAGCGCGCGAAGGCGGAUCUGCCAGUCUGUCUUAAAAGUUCGGGGCUUAACCCCGUGAUGGGAUGGAAACUACAGAUCUAGAGUAUCGGAGAGGAAAGUGGAAUUCCUAGUGUAGCGGUGAAAUGCGUAGAUAUUAGGAAGAACACCAGUGGCGAAGGCGACUUUCUGGACGAAAACUGACGCUGAGGCGCGAAAGCCAGGGGAGCGAACGGGAUUAGAAACCCGUGUAGUCC